rnacentral:rRNA from 1 species
UACGUAGGGUGCAAGCGUUGUCCGGAAUUAUUGGGCGUAAAGAGCUCGUAGGCGGUCUGUCGCGUCGGGAGUGAAAACUCAGGGCUUAACCCUGAGCCUGCUUCCGAUACGGGCAGACUAGAGGUAUGCAGGGGAGAACGGAAUUCCUGGUGUAGCGGUGAAAUGCGCAGAUAUCAGGAGGAACACCAGUGGCGAAGGCGGUUCUCUGGGCAUUACCUGACGCUGAGGAGCGAAAGUGUGGGGAGCGAACAGG